UUUUAAUUGUGUAUUUUAUAUAUAUUAAAGUAUAUUUGGUUACUUUUUAUCUGUGCCACUUAUCCUUUUAUACACUCUAACUCAUUUACUACCUGGCAUCCUUUCAACAUCCCGGACUCCAAGAAAUCCUAGGUGGGGAUUAUACCACCAGCGCUAUGUCAAGGAGCAGUUGUUCUGCUCCCGUCUUGUGAGUACCCAUUCUAUUUUAUUUAUUUUAUUACCAAUAUUUUACUCAGUGUACACUAUUGGCUGUUUCUUUCUACCCGAGUGUUAGAUACACCACUGACGGAGGAAGUCUACCCUAUAUCCCAUAAGCGGGGAUCAAACCGCUGUACGCCUUCUAUACUAGAGCAAGUUUAGCUCUUUCAAAUGUGAGUUUUAUUUUUCCCUUUUUACUUAUUUUUAUUGUUUUAAGCAUUUUACACUAUUGGCUCUCCACUCUUUUAUCUUCUAUAUACGAGCGGACCCUCACGGAUGAACAUAAAAAGGACAAUUGUUCCGGAUCAAGCACGGAUAGAUUCCAUGACCUCAAAGAGCAUAGUCUAGAUAAGACUUUCUUGUUUUACUACAGUCAUUUAUUUGGACUAUUUGCUAUUUUAUUUUGCAUUGGCGCAGCCCUUAUCUUGUAAGUUUUAUGUGCCUGAACCUACCUCCAAAGGCCAAAAGUUGACAUCCACCCCUGUAGCUAGUACAGUGAGUAGUAUCAGUAACAAUGCUAAGUGCCAGCUUAUCAGUCAAACACUGAGCUUGCUAAAUCCUGGAAAUUAUAAAGCAUAUCAAUUGCUGUGAUUUCUACUGAAGCAGAAGCAAGCAGUAGGGAUUGACAGGUUAUAAAGAGGUGGAUACAAAAAUCUAAGCUUUUCCUUUAGCAUUUUUUUUUUAAUACAGCCACCCUGAAACAGUACAUCACAUUAUUUAGUACAUCAUAAUCCUAGCUUGUAGGGAAUUCAUCUCAUUCCACUUUGUUGUUUUAGCAGAUUUUAAGGAAAAUACUAUCUGUACAAUUAAGGUAAAACCAUGGUUUGGGCACCCAUCUCGGUUAUAUAAAAAUGCAUCCUCCAUAAACACACAAUUUGUACCUAGCAGUGAAAAAAAAAAAACUAAGCAACUUACCAGGUGCAAGUAAUGAAAACAUUUUAGGAGUACCAAACACUUUCUAUUUUUCUAUGCAUCACAGUGGGUAUCAGUAGGCAAAUAACUUAUCAUACCUUAAUUCACAUUGCAAAAACAAUAAUGACCCUAUACGUCAAUUCUUUUGUUGAAUGGAGUGGCAAUAAUUUGUGUACCAGCAAGACAUUUCUACAGACUAAUUCACAAAGCAUCUUCCGCUUAAGGACAAGGAUAAAACCAAUCCUUAUAUUCACAGAGCAACUUGAAUUAAUGAAUUUAUGGGGAUAUUUCAUUACUUCAAAUCUUUUUGCACAAAUUGUAAUGUAACAUUUUGUUCAUUUAUUCUUCUAUUUGUAGUAAUUUUAAUAUGUGAAAUUGAGUUUUGAUUUUAUUAUCACCCCAUGCCAUAAAAAACACACACAAAAAAGUCUGUUCACCAUAGACUGAACUGUGGGGAAGAAAAACAGAUAUAUUUAUAAAGAUCCAAACUGUUAUUUUUAUCUAUACAUUGAAAAUUUCACUUUACCACAGUUUGCUAUAGAGAUCUCCCAGUGUUCCUGUAGGUGUGAGUUUAGGCGCUAAAAUGAUUUUUAGUAACUUUACUAACUUUUUUAGUAAUACAUUUUGUUGGUUACAAAUGAAUAAUGGAUGUUCAAACAAUAUCGAAAAAUGACCACUGAUUGAACAAAGUCCGUAAACAAACGUACAAUAAUUUUGUCAAAUCCAAUAUUGCAGAAAAUGUUAUAGGACAUUGAAAUUGUCUCCACAUUCAGCCUAUUCAGAAUUUUGGUUUUUCAAUGUUGUCUGCAAUGAAUUUCAUUAUUAAAGGGUAUUAAUAAAAACAAAUAUGUUGUAUUCUCAAGUGGUGCUGAUUUUCUGGCUAAUUAC